rfam:Columba livia unplaced genomic scaffold scaffold72, whole genome shotgun sequence.
GCUAUGAUGACUUUUUUUAGCAUUGAUCAUCUGAGAUGAUGGUGCUUUCAUGUCCUCUAAGAAGUUCUGAGCUU